CCAGCAGGACACACCUGGCAACGGAUGUGACAUUCAGCACUGCCCAGGUUUCUUCCAUUUGGAGGAGGCAAACUGGUGAAUGGAAGGAGGCAAUCCUCUGACAGCGGGAUGCUAUGGAACAAUAAUAAGGCAAGUUUGCUUGCUUGAAGGCUGCUGGUAUCCAUGGUUGGAAGUUUGCGGACGUCUCAUGAUGGACCUAACAGUAGCUUUUGGCACAAUGGGACACUGUGACAGAAGCCAGAGCACACAGAAAUGCUGUUUACCUUCCUGCCACAGCGGUACCUAUUUAUCUACUUGCACUGGUGUGCUUUCGAACUGCUAGGUUGGCAGGAGCUGGUACAGAGCAACGGGAGCUCAGCCCGUCACAGGGAUUCGAACUGCCGACCUUCCGAUCGGCAAGCCCUAGGCUCAGGGGUUUAGACCACAGUGCCACCCGCGUCCCAAGUAUAUUAACAAUGAAAUACAAUUAAGAAGAAGUAUAUUAAUAGUGAAAUAAUUAUUAAGAUAUAACUUAAAAUGAUUUUUUAUUCAUACAAAUUUAAUAAUGCAAACUCAUUGGCAUUUGGCAAUAACAAGAGUUCCUUUAGAAAUGCAAUUUAUAAAGACUCGUAAUUUGGGGGGGGGGCCAAGAGAUUCGGGCCCUAAGCGAUAGCUUGUUUAGCUUAUACAGUGGUAGCUCGGGUUAAGUAAUUAAUUUGUUCUGGGGGUCUGUACUUUGCAAAUGAAGAAAGGCUUUGAGCACUUUGAGGGGAAGCACAUCACUUUAUACAGUGGUAUCUCGGGUUAAGUACUUAAUUCGUUCCAGAGGUCCGUACUUAACCUGAAACUGUUCUUAACCUGAAGCACCACUUUAGCUAAUGGGGUCUCCCGCUGCUGCUGUGCCGCCGCUGCACGAUUUCUGUUCUCAUCCUGAAGCAAAGUUCUUAACCUGAAGCACUAUUUCUGGGUUAGCAGAGUCUGUAACCUGAAGCGUAUGUAACCUGAAGCGUAUGUAACCCGAGGUACCACUGUACAUAAAUCUGGGACGGCUCACUGCCAAGGGGACAUAACAAGCAAAUAGAAAGAGAACCUACCCAAGUGACACUGACACAAAAUUUCCAUGCAUGCACUAAGUAAAAGAACAAGCUUUACCUCCCCAGCCCCUCUUUCCAGACCCCCCUUUUCUUCCCAUCCCUAUUCUGAAUAUAACACCGAUGUCUCACGACAAAUGUAACUGAUCUGUAGAAAACACAACCUGAAAAAAGAGACAAUGCAUGUGCUUUUUGAAAACGAAGAAAAUCUUUAAGGCAAAUUAUGUCUUUUAAAAACAAACCAAGGGGGAAUUCACACUAGCUGGAAACCUGAGAAUGAGAACCAGCCUUUGUUUUUACACAUGUGACCAAGGUCAAGAAGAGAGUUAAGUGGAAACCCUAUCAUGUUUGGGCAAGACAAAUUGCCUCUGUGUAAAAGCGUGACAGAUGUUGUUCUUGGAAAGCCUGGAGUUCUGCAGGAGGGGCGACUUGUCAGCCAGCUUUUGUUAAGUGUAGGUGGUUUCGUAAUGAGUCAGCACCCAAAAAUACUAGCAAGACGUAGCCUAGAGGUUAAACAAGUGAUUCUAUUGAUCUUUUCAUUCAUCAGAUGUGUCAGUCCCACAAUCUCUUGUCAGUUAUCCAAGAGGUUGGAAACAAAUGCAGUAUUAAUGCAUCUCUGCGAUCCCUGUUGAGACGUGCUAUCAUUGUUCAGUAAGAAAUUGGUUGCUUGUGGCAUGAAUUAAAUGUUUCCUUUCUCUGCUGAUGAGAUUAUUUGAGCGGAGUCACAUACACUUUUUUGAUCCGUAACUUCUUAUGCAAAGUUUGGCGAAUGUGUGGCAUCUACGCGGAAGGCGAUAAAUACUGGGUACUACCUGGAGAGCACACAAAUAUUAAAAAUUCUUUAUCAGUCUCUAAUAUUGUCAUUAGUGGGAUAUUUUUUUCACUUUCUGCAUAAUUUGACCUUGCACGUUAAUCUUGAAAAUUUACGAAAACUGUUUGUUUCUUGCCAGAAAUAGCAAUCAUGUAGGCUGCAAAAUUAUUUGAUUUGUGCUAAAUAGUUUGGAAGAUCACUCAUGCAUAAGUAAGGUUGCCAUACAUCCAGGAAUUCCAUAAUUUUAUUUAUUUAUUAAAGUUCUUAUGUUACAUCGGCAAACAUUAUCAUAUUACAUCACAAAGACAUGUCUUCUUUUGGGGGGUCCUACAUGCCUAACCAGGGGGAAUUUUACAUUUUAAAGCAAAUAUCCGGGAUUUUGGUUUUUUUUAAUAUAUGUAUAUGCAGUGCUUUUUUUCUGGGGGUACGCAGGGCUACGCAUACCCCUAAACAUUUUGAGAAUCUAAGUUUGGCCUCAUUGAGGGGCAGUAUUUCAAUAUGAGUAGGAAAAUGAGAGUACUCCUAAACAAUUUUUUAAAGAAAAAAAGCACUGGGUAUCUGUAUCUGUAUCUGUAUCUGUAGCUAUAGCUAUAGCUGUAGCUGUAGCUGUAGCUGUAGCUGUAGCUGUACAGUGGUGCCCUGCAAGACGAAUGCCUCGCAAGACGGAAAACCCGCUAGACAAAAGGGUUUUCCGUUUUUGAGUUGCUUCGCAGGACGAAUUUCCCUAUGGGCUUGCUUCGCAAGACGAAAAUGUCUUGCGAGUCUUGAGAUUUUUUUCCCGCUCCCCCCCUUUUUCUAAGCCGCUAAGCCGCUAAUAGCCUUUUAGCAGCUAAGCCGAUAAGCCGAUAAGCCUUUAAUAGCCGCUAAACCGCUAAUAGCGCUAAGCCGCUAAGCCGCUAAUAGGGUUGCUUCGCAAGACGAAAAAACCGCUAGACGAAGACACUUGCGGAACGGAUUAAUUUCGUCUUGCGAGGCACCACUGUAUCUAUCUGUAUCUGCUCUGGCGGCUCUGGUUCAGGCUCUGGCUCUGACUUGGGCAAUCCAGGUUUUGGCUUGGGCUCUGGCUCUGGCGUGGGUGGCUUAGACUUGAGCUUGGCAGUGGCAGAGGGGCUGUCAGGCAAUUGCCCAAAAACAUUUUUUGUGUGUCCGGAUUUUUACCUCUUGAAAUAUGGCCUUGAGCUUGUUUGGAGGUUCUAGCAGGCAAGCGCAGCUAUCGUAUACCCUUGACUAAAGAACGGUACAGUCAUACCUUGGGUUACAGACGCUUCAGGUUGCGUUUUUCCAGGUUACGGACCGCCGAAACCUGGAAGUACCAGAAUGGGUUACUUCUGGGUUUUGGCGGUCGUGCAUGCGCAGAAACGCUAAAUCGCAACCCGUGCGUGCACAGAUGCGGGUUGCGAACGCUGCGGGUUGCGAACGUGCAUCCCACACAGAUCACGUUCACAACCAGAGCGUCCACUGUACACUCCUUCUCUCUGGGAUGGUCAUCCUCUUCCACUGAGCGCACAGUUUCGGGAGGGACGCACAUGGAGCGGUGAGGGAGGAAGGAGACACGUGCCUAGCCAGCCAGAUCAGCCGAAUCAACCCUGGCGAUCAAUGGGGUGACAGAUGUCGCAGCCAGAUCACCCUCACAUCUGCCUCUUGAAAUAUGGCAACCCUAUGCAUAAGGCUGUUGGAGAGUUCCGACAAAAAUGGAAAUGGAAAUUGCCCAUGUUCGCUUAUUUGCCCAUGCCCAGGAUGAAAAUCAACCCUGUUGUUGUUGCUUUAAUCGAGGAUGAACUUUGGUCUUUCAAAUUUCAGCAUCAUCCUGUGUGAGGCCCAAAUGUGAUGCCCCCUCUUCCAUUUUGCUCCAUCCACAUUCUGCUCUGUUCCGCUUUCAUUGAUGACACCCCCUUCCUGCGCUUUCGUUGAGUUUCAUUUGCACUGAAAUGAAUGGAGCUGGCGAUGAAGCCUCGCCGCUGAUGAAGAACAUGAACCCCCAGCUGGGCUUCUGCCAGAAACUAGAUUGGUACAUAAACAAGGAACAUUUACAUGGUUCAACAGGUAUGCAAGGGGAUUAUAUACAAGGCUAAGUGCAAGCGAAUGCACUGAUCCAACAAGUGACUCACACCUGCCACACUUUCCUUAGGAAGGAUGGGUUGGGCACAGCACUUAGCAUGGGAAAUAGCCAUAGUGAGAUUGGGCAGGCAAACUAGGACUUCACUGGGUUGGCUGAGCUUGUAAGGCCUGUUUGCACCACCGCUGGUGUCUCCAUGUCCGAGGAGAUGGAGAUGAUGUCUAUGCUGGUUCAGGAUCUGGCUUAGUCUCAGCAGUCCUGUUCUUCGAAGGAGGCUCAUCACUGACAGGGAGAAGCACUGGUUACAUAAUAAUAAUAAUAAUAAUAAUAAUAAUAAUAAUAAUUUAUUUGUACCCCGCCCAUCUGGCUGGGCUUCCCUAGCCACUCUGGGCAACUUCCAACAAAGACCAAAAACACACUAAGAUGUCACACAUUAAAAACUUCCCUGAACAGGGCUGCCUCCAGAUGUCUUCUGAAUGUCAGGUAGUUGUUUAUCUCUUUGACUUCUGAUGGGAGGGCAUUCCACAGGGUGUGCGUCACUACCAAGAAGGCCCUCUGCCUGGUUCCCUGUAGCUUUGCUUCUCACAAUGAGGGAACCGCCAGAAGGCCCUAGGCGCUGGACCUCAGCGUCUGGGCAGAACAAUGGGGGUGGAGACGCUCCUUCAGGUCAAAUAGGACAAAUCUGACAUGGGGUGUCUGGUGUCACCAGAGCAGAACACUCUUCUGCUAGCCCAUUUGGUGCCUCCCUGGCUCAUCAUCCCCCAGGCUAUCAGACAUGUCCCUAGGCUUGGACAAUUUCAUGGGUCCAACAGACACUUUCUCCAACCCACAGAACCCUCCAAAGGGUUGCCCAGCUUUCUGAGCUCCUCUCAUUCUUCUUCAGACCACCCACUCCAUGACAGCUAAAGAAGAACCCCUGCCAGGGGUGGAAUAAAAGAAUGACAGCAUAAUUCACAUAAUUAAUUAUGUAAGUUAUAUAAAAAGGUAAAGGUAAUUUUACCUAACACCAAGAAAACUAGUGCUAAUACACCCAGGAACCUCACCAAAAUGCUGGAGAGAGUGCACUUCCACAGGCACAUACCUCCACAUGUGGUGGGAGUGCCCCAAAAUCCAACUAUACUGGACAACAGCCAUAUGAGAAAUAUGUAAAAUAACUAAGCAAGUAUUAGACAUCACCACAGAAUUGGCCCUACUAAACAUCUUCCAAGACAACAAUGCCCAUUUACACCACAAAAAACUCAUAACCCACCUUCUUUCAGCAACCAGAAACACCAUAACCAGACACUGGAGAGACCUGUCAGGAGUAAGCAUGGACCAAUGGUACCAAAUAGUAUGGGAAACAGCCCUACCAGAAAAAUUAACCAAUAAACUGAAACUGACAUGGAGACAAACAGAAGAAGACACCUCUACCCCAGUAUGGCUCCCCUGUAUCACAUACACAGCCCAACAAGACAAUGACAAUAAUCCACCAACGGCAUACAAAUCAAUAUGGCUAAUCUGAUCCAAAACACCCACCCACCCCACUCACACACGAAAACAAAGAUCACCACAGCCAAUCACAAAGAAACAACCACACCCUAGGCCAACCCCAACCUCUCUCACCACCAAAGGAACACAAGUGAACAGCAGAGAACCUGCACGAGCAACACUGACACAAAACCGUACAUACAUUAAGCAUAAUAGAAACAUCGCCACCCGACCCCACCCCACCCAUCUUCCCCCCACCCCUUUUUUUCUCCCCCUAAUGUCUCAACAAAUGAAACGGAUUUGUAAAAAUGUUACAUGGAAAAAAUACGAGAGAUAUUACACAUACUUCUGUAAAACAAGAAAAUCUUUAAUAAAAAAAAAACUAAAACACCAAAAAAAAAAGGGGGGGUAAAGGUAAAGGACCCCUGGGUGGUUAAGUCCAGUCAAAGGCAACUAUGGGAUUUUGGCACUCAUCUCGCUUUCAGGCUGAGAGAGCCGGUGUUUGUCCACAGCUUUCCAGGACAUGUGCCCGGCAUGACUAAACUGCUUCUGGUGCAAUGGAACACUGUGAGGGAAACCAGAGCGCACGGAAACACCGUUUACAUUCCCGCUGCAGCAGUACCUGUUUAUCUACUUGCACUGGGGUGCUUUCAAACUGCUAGCUUGGCAGAAGCUGGGACAGAGCGAUGGGAGCUCACCCUGUUGUGGGGAUUUGAACCGCUGGCCUUCUGAUGGGCAAGCCCAAGAGGCUCAGUUCUUUAGACCACAGCGCCACCUGCUCCCCCCGUAAGUUAUAUAAUUUCACCACAACAGAUAACAAGACUCAUAAUGCAGUUUUGGGCAGAAGAUGAACUACAGCAGAACAGGAAAAAGCACAGCAUGGAACAAAUAUAGGGUGGAAUGUAAUACGAUGCCAUCUUUUGAAGUUUUCUCUUAUUUUCAUUGCUUACCUAUUAGAAACACAUUCAGUGUGCAUUGUGGACACAGCACAGCAUGCUAGCCAUCUUCCUUCUAUGUCUCUCCUAGACAGACAUUUAAAAUUUUAUUGAGAAAUGCAUUUAUAAUAAGCAAAAACAUCAAAACAAAGUGCUUCAUACGAAUGGCACAUUUCUCGAUAUGCGUCACUAUUGUUCUCAUGUUUUGUGAAAUCUCUUUAUUUCUUUCCAUGCAGAGAACAUUUGCGCUGUUAACUGUGCCAGUUUCACAGAAAGAAAAAUGCACUUAUAAAGGAAAUAGAAGCAUAUGUUCUCCAAGGAAGAAUGAUCAAAUAAAACGCCCAAAGAGGAACUGUGUUUCUCUUUGCAAUUAUUGGGUAAUGUAGGAAGUAUGAGCAUUCACUUCUUCACUGUGGGGACAUGUGUGGGCUCCCAAUGCAGGGACAGCUCGUGCAGCUCCUCCUGAUGAAGUAAAUGAGUUGUCCCCUCAUUCACUAGGCCAGAUGCACAACCACAGGAAGCACAGCUUGCUCACACUUCCUAGAAAUGGGUGGAUUCAUCCUGCUAUAAACAGUCUGUUGAUUCCAGAGACCAGACAACUAGCAAGCCAUCUUAAUUAUGCUGGCCUGUAGCUUUGGGGUCACAGGCCCAUGGCAUCUGAGACUACAUUAACAGUACAGUGGUACCUCAGGUUAAGAACUUAAUUUGUUGUGGAGGUCUGUUCUUAACCUGAAUGUUCUUAACCUGAAGCACCACUUUAGCUAAUGGGGCCUUCUGCUGCCGCCGCACCGCUGGAGCACGAUUUCUGUUCUCAUCCUGAAGCAAAGUUCUUAACCCGAGGUACUAUUUCUGGGUUAGCGGAGUCUGUAACCUGAAGCGUCUGUAACCCGAGGUACCACUGUACAGGCGACUCCCCCCAUACGCAGGGGUCACGUUCUGGGCCACCGUAAGUAAAAUCGCGUAAAGUGAGGAGCACGUUCUAAAUACCCUUUCAAUGCUCUCUCCUCAAUCCAUACCAAAAACACUGUAUCCAAAAAUAUCCACAACCAGAACUGGAACUCUAGGGCUGGCAGGAGGCUGGAGGACACGUGGGAAAGCAGCUGCUGCUGCUGCUGUGCUACCCCACAUGUCAGCUGUUAGACGGGGAGGGUAAGCAGCAUAAACAGGUGAAUCUCUGCUUCUUAAUGGCGCCAUUGGAGGGUUUUCACCAGACGAAGUGUUUUUGCACCCAGCACUUCCCUGCCUUCCACAUUCUAUGCCGGAGCAAGAGUCAGAUUCCUGAGAUGAACUGUGAGUGAAGCCCAUUCCCCCUGUCCCUGGGGGGAAUUUGCAAGGAUAAUUACCCUCAAUCACCCUUGUUUUUCCUUCGCCAAUGAUCUUCCACUGUCAUGGGGGCUGCCUGUUGAAUGGUUUAAUAUGUAAAGGUUCAUCAUUGUUCCACUCGAUGUGUAUGUCUUUAAGGGGCCAGAGAAAGGGCCAGAGCAAAAUAACGAGACCCAGCUUUACAGCUGUGAAACAUAGCAGGUGCUGCUGAGUUGUAUUGAUUAAGCUGUGUUGGUAAUUGGGUGUAGUAUAUAAGGAGCAGCACCUAGCUCUCCCAUUCCCCUGGGGGAUGGGUUGGUGGUUGGGUCAUGUUUGUUUGUUAAUGUAUUUAGUGUAAAAGGAGUUUUUGUUUUUCUUAUUAAAACCUUGUUUAAGUUAUUUUUGAGUCCCUUUUUAAUGCAUGGUCUCCCCAGCAAGCUCUCUGCAGCGCUACCAUACUGCAAAAAGUCAACAUCUUUGGUUAUGGGCCCAGCUGCUGAGUGGAUGACUGCAUAUUUUUGGACUCUGAGAAAGGUUUGAAAACUCCUUCUCCUGUUAGCGUAGUUCUGUGGGUCUGGAAGAGUUCCAGAAUGGUUGACUGGGUUCCUGAAGCUGAGAAGGCUCUGGUCUUCCCACAGCUGACAGAUGAGAACUAUAGUUUAUGGUCUUUUCGGGUGGAGGCGCUUUUGACCUCUAGAGAAGUAUGGACCUAUGUAACUGAUGACCCUCCUGACCCUGUGACUAAUGCGUGGUCGAAAGGAGAUGCGAAAGCCAGGGCGAUAAUUAAUUUGGCAGUCAGCGACCAGCAAGUAGUCUAUAUAAGAAAUAAGAAAACUGCCAAAGAAAUGUGGGACAGUCUUGCAGCAGUGCAUGUUAGAAAAGAGUCAGCGUCUGCAUUGACGUUUUCAAGCAGUUGUACCAGACGAAGUUGCAGCCUGGUGGUGAUUUGGCAGCACACUUGAGACGUCUGGAGGCAAUACGCGGCGAAUUAAUUCGAAGGGACAUGGAGAUACCUGAUAUUCAGUAUGUUUUCAUCAUCCUUUGUUCCCUUAAUGAGGACUUUGAUGGUAUAGCUAGCCAGAUAUCUGCCGUUCCACCAGCACAAUUAACUGUGGAAGGGGUAACGGCAAGAUUAAUGGGCGAGUUGGACAGAAGGGAGGCUUGUGCCAUAAGCACUCCUAUUUCCAGAAAGAAUGAGGAACGCCAUAUGCAAACUUGUGGUGAUACAACUGCAUUUAAAGCUGCAAAGCGUUGUUGGUUCUGCAAUAAGCAAGGACAUUUUGCAAAGGACUGCAGAUCCAAAAGAAAGGAAAGUACUCCCAAGUCUGUUUCUGUUCGUCAGUCACGGUCGUCAGCUCAGCAGCCGGCAUCGUACUGUAAAGACAGAAACGAGCCGCGAGCUUUUCACGCUAGCACAAGAGAUCGUAAAAGAAUUAAAGGUGCCAAGUGGAAUUCUUUUAUUGUGGACUCAGGAGCAUCUCAGCACGUUUGCAACGAUCGAAGCUUGUUUAUUUCUUUCGAAGAGGAAAUUGGUAAUGUACAUUUAGCCAAUUCACAAGUCUUGCAGUCGCUUGGCAGGGGUACUGUUAAACUUGACUCUUUAAACAUUACUAUAGCGAACUGCAUUUACUGCCCGUCAGUGGACAAUUUAUUGUCAGUAAGGUGUUUUGCUCGUCAAGGCAUAACUGUGCGUUUCUUAAAGUCAAUGUGUGAGUUUUUUGAGGGGAACAAACGUCUAUUGUAUGCCCGGGAAUCUGAUGGUUUAUAUAGACUGUAUUUUCACACCUACUCCCAAUCGCCUAUAAAUUGCAGAGCAGCACAGUCAAGCCAGGGGUUGAGGAAUGUAAGGCCACAUUCUGGGUGUGUCCAUGAGGCGCACAGAAUUCUGGGACAUCUGAAUUUUGCUGAUGUAAUUAAGACCAAGAAUAUUGUUAAUGGCCUCAACUUAAAACCAUGUAAAUUCUUUAUGCAAUGUCUAUCCUGUUGCAAGAAUAAGAUUAAGGUUGCACGCAAGGGUAGGUGCUCAGAUAGGAAAGUAACUGAGCCAUUUGAGCGUGUACAUUGUGAUUUAGUUGGGCCACUCCCACCAUCCUUAGGAGGUUCUAAGUACUGGCUUACCCUGAUAGACCAGUAUAGUAGAUAUUGUUGGACUUAUGCAAUAGCUGAGAAGUCCCAAGCAUUUGAGAAGUACAAUGUUUUUUUCAACUGGGUAAACACACAUUUUAACAUACCUAUUAAGAACCUUUUUCUGACCGGGCGGGAAUUUGUUUCUGAGGAUUUUGAGAAAUUCCUGGAAGCGCAGGGGACUACUCAUGAGUUAUCUUGCCCCCGAAGUCCCUGGCAAAAUGGGCUUGUUGAAGUUGUGCAGCGUGACCUGCAGGCAGGGGUUAAAACUUAUCUGCAUGAUGCUAAUCUGCCCAAAGACUUUUGGGCUGAAGCGCUCAAUGCCUUUUGUUAUGUUAGAAAUCGCAGUUAUCAUUCUGGUUUAGAUGUCACCCCCUAUGAGAAGCUGUUUAAAAACGCCCUAAUCUGAAAUACCUACGCAUUUGGGGUUCAGAUGUAAUAAUGCAUUAUCCCGCUAAGCAGAAAUUGGGUGAACGUAGUGUCCAGGGAAAAUUAAUGGGCUACCAGCAGGGGCGUACAGAAUUUACAUACCAGCAACUGGCAAAUUUCAUAUUACCAGAAGCAUGAUACAAACUGUAAAUUGGAAUGGCGUUGCUGUUUUCCAAGAUACUAACGGUAUAGAUAAUACUGAGGAAGAAGAGGUAGAAGAAGCAGCAGCAGCAGCAGCAGGAAAUGGUGCUUCUGAAUUAAUGGAAGAAGACAAAAAGCCUGUUGAAUCUGAUGGUUAUGGACCACAGGUACGAAGUUCACAGCAUGUAAUGCUUUAAAAGAGAAUAUUAUGAAAAUGGUGUACAGGUGGUACAUGACCCCAGUUAAGCUUGCAAAAAUCUACCAUUUGCCCGAUAAUAAAUGUUGGAAAUGUAAGGAAACUGAAGGUACAUUCUUUCACCUUUGGUGGACGUGCCCAAAGAUUAAGGCCUUCUGGGAAAUGAUAUAUAAUGAGUUGAAAAAGGUAUUUAAGUAUACCUUCUUAAAGAAACCAGAGGCCUUCCUCUUGGGCAUUGUCGGCCAAUUGGUGCCAAAGAAAGAUAGAACUUUCUUUAUGUAUGCAACAGCAGCAGCAAGAAUACUCAUCGCAAAGUAUUGGAAGACACAAGACUUACCCACUCUGGAAGAAUGGCAGAUGAAGGUAAUCGAAUAUAUGGAACUGGCGGAGAUGACUGGCAGAAUCCGUGACCAGGGAGAAGAGUCGGUGGAAGAAGAUUGGAAGAAAUUUAAAGUCUAUCUACAGAAAUACUAUAAAAUUAAUGAAUGUUAAAUUGAAGUCUGAUUGAAAAUAACUGGUAUUGGCAAAAGCCUUGGGAUUAAGAGUAUGGAAUAUUUGACUGAUAAGGUUGUAAAAAUAUUUAUAUAUAAAUAGAUUAAGUUUUCUGAGUUAAGAUAAUGAAAGGAGGGUAAGGAUUUGCUGAAAGGAGUUCUUAAAUGGAAAUACAAGCGUGGAGGUGCGGGGAAGUCAAAGAACCAGGUAAAGAUAAGAAGGAUAAAUGAAAGUAUAAUAUUCUUUGAAUUUCUUUGUCUCUUUUUCUUUUUUUCCUUUUUCCUUUUUUGUUAUGGAUACUGUUAUUUCUGUUUGUUUUUUGUUAUGGUUAUUGUUGUUUUUUGUUUGUUGAACUUCUGUAAUUUUGUAUUUUUUUUGGGAAUUUUUCUUGUAAAACCAAUAAAUAUUUUAUAAAAAAAAAAAAAAAAGCCUGUUGAAUCUGAUAAUUUCUUUGAUGAUUUAAAGUCACAGGCACCCGAGGGGAGGUUAGAUUCUCUUGAGUUUUCUGACCGUGAGCUUAGCCAACAGGCAUCUCUUCAGUCUGACAAUGAUGAUUUACAACCUGAAACUAGUAGUUUACAUAGUCCCAUUAAGUCUGAGGAGUCUGACUCUCCUUCCGGACUGAGACGUUCAGAUAGAAAGAGACAGAAGCCACAACGUUUUGCAGAUGAACAUUUUAAUACUGUGUAUGCCAAUAAGGCAGUUUUGAGCCAAAAGCUACAAUGAUGUUCAGAAUUUACCUAAGCACCAAGCUGUAAAUUGGUAUAAAGCUAUGAACUCUGAAAUAGCUUCUUUAAAAGAGCAUAACACUUGGUCUCUUGUACCACAAACCCCAGAUAUGAGACUUAUUGAUUCAAAAUGGGUUUAUAGAGUUAAAAUGAAUGACAAAAAUGAAGUUGUAAGGUACAAGGCAAGAUUAGUUGCUAGGGUUUUCAACAAAUUCCAGGCGAAGAUUAUGAUUUGUGUUAUUCACCAAGUGUAAAAUAUGAAACAGUUAAGCUUUUGUUAAAAGAUGCAUCACAGCGUGGACAUUCUGUUUAUCACCUAGAUAUAAAAACUGCAUAUUUGUUUGCAGAUUUAAAAGAACAAAUUUUUAUGCGUGUCCCUGAAGGCAUAGAUGCCGCUGAAGGUUUGGUAUGCAAAUUAAAUAAAUCCCUUUAUGGUCUGCACCAAAGUGGAAGGAACUGGCACCAAACUUUAGCAAAAGAAUUGCUGGAUAUUGGUUUUUCACAGGGAAAGGCAGACAAUUGUGUGUUUAUAAAGGAAAGGGCAAACUCUGUAGCAAAAAUAUGUGUCUAUGUAGAUGACGUGUUAUUUCUACAAAAACUAAACAGGAAUAUGAACAGGUAGUAACACAGUUACAGAAGAAAUUUGAUGUGGUGGAAUUAGGCAUAGCUAAAAAUUACUUAUCCAUGCAAAUUGAGAAAGGCAAAAAUGGAUCUUUUCUGGUUCAUCAAACUGCAAAAAUUGACGAUCUUGUUGAAAUGCUAUGUUUAGAAAAUGCAAAUGGGAAGGAAACGCCCAUGGUGUGUGGUUUCACUUUUACAGGUGAAGAUAAGCCAUUUCCUAACAAAACUUUGUAUCGUUCUGCUAUAGGCAAGCUAAAUUUCAUUCAAAGAAUCUCAAGACCAGAUAUAACUUAUGCCUUUCACUUUCUGGCAAAAUUUGUGGAAAAGCCCACUACACAAUGUUUCUCUGCUCUUAAGAGAGUGGUAAUGUACCUUAAACAUACCAAACAUUAUAGGUUGCAGUUUACAACAUGUAUUGACAAAGGUUUUGAAAUUUUCUGUGAUGCAUCUCAUGCAGUGGAACAAAAUAAUUGCAGGGGUGUGUCUGGUAUGGUGUUUUGUUAUAAUGGUUGUCCAUUUGAAUGGAAGUCCCAGACACAAAACAUUAUUUGCCUCUCCACAACAGAGAGUGAGUUAUGUGCAUGCGUUCAGGCCACUCGUGAUGUGGAAUGGUAUCUGCAAGUAUUCGCAGACCUACAGAUGCAAGUAACACUACCAGUAAAAGUUUACCUUGAUUCCCAGAGUGGACUCGCUAUCCUAUGUUCACAAACCAAUACGCAGCGCACUAAAGUCUUAAGAUUACGUUUACAGUUUGUAAAGAAACUAAUUGCUGAUGAAAUGGUUGUAUUUAAAUAUGUUCCAGGUGACAAUCAAAUUGCAGACAUUUUUACUAAAGCACUUCCAAAAGGUAUACAUGAAAAACAUGUACAAAGUAUGCUUUAUGUUUUUGUUCCACAAUGAUGAACCGCAGGGGAAAUGUUGAAUGGUUUAAUAUGUAAAGGUUCAUCAUUGUUCCACUCGAUGUGUAUGUCUUUAAGGGGCCAGAGAAAGGGCCAGAGCAAAAUAACGAGACCCAGCUUUACAGCUGUGAAACAUAGCAGGUGCUGCUGAGUUGUAUUGAUUAAGCUGUGUUGGUAAUUGGGUGUAGUAUAUAAGGAGCAGCACCUAGCUCUCCCAUUCCCCUGGGGGAUGGGUUGGUGGUUGGGUCAUGUUUGUUUGUUAAUGUAUUUAGUGUAAAAGGAGUUUUUGUUUUUCUUAUUAAAACCUUGUUUAAGUUAUUUUUGAGUCCCUUUUUAAUGCAUGGUCUCCCCAGCAAGCUCUCUGCAGCGCUACCAUACUGCAAAAAGUCAACACUGCCUCCACAAAGUCAGAACAUUUGUCCAUCUAUCUCUAGCCUCUCCUGGUAUGUCCCACAGAGGACCUUACGGUCUUCAAACAAAAACAUCUUGGAGGUCCUGGGCCACAGAGAGGUUAGGCUGGCCUCAACCAGAGCCAGGGCUUUUUCAGCUGUGGCUCCAAUCUGGUGGAACGCUCUGUCACAAGAGACUAGGGCCCUGCGGGACUUUCCGCAGGGCCUGCAAGACAAAGCUGUUCCACCAGGCCUUUGGCCAAGGCACAGCCUGACCCCCUCCUUUGGUAAUUCUUCACAGAACUCUAGCCCAAUGGUUGCCAUCAAUUUGAUUUGAACUGAUUUUAUAAUGAAUUAUUUUAGAAUGCUGUAUUAUUUUACUGUUGUUAGGGGAGGGUGGGAUAUAAAUGAAAUUUUAUUAUUAUUAUCAUCAUCAUCAUCAUCAUCAUCAUCAUCAUCUCAGUAUUAUCUAUGCUGAGGUAGGGAACACCUGAGGCCCUUCAUUCUGUUGCAGGACUGUGACUCCCACAAUCCCUGGCUAUGCUGGUUGAGGCUGAUGUGCGUUAAGGGACCAGCAAGGGCCAUAGGUUCUCCAUCCCUGGUUGCGCUGAGUUUCAGACAACCGUACCUAGAGGGCUAGAGAGUGAACCUGUGACCUUUUGUACCCAAUUUCCUUAUCCACUGUGCUUGAGUUCCUCCUACAACUACAUAUUGUGGCCUGCGCCAGGAAUAGUUUAAAUAUUUUUUAUAGCAUCGCAGCCAAUUUGAAUUUUGGCAGCCAUCAUUUUCAUACUCCAAUGGUGGGUGUAACAAAGUGAUAAACUGAGGAACGUCUUCCCCACAGAGGUGUGUCUAGACUCUUCAUUGCUCAGCUUUCCUUGAAUGGUGUACCACAAACACUGGAAAACCCCAAGAAACAUUCUAUUAACUGCAUUUGUUGAGGAAUAAAACCCUACUUAGCAAGGCAUUCUCUUAUCUUAUGCAAGCUCAUAAAUCUCUUCUUUUGGCACAGGAAUACAAGAACACAAUGAAGCUGUCAUUCCAUAUCUAAGCAGAUGACAUCCUUGCAAAGCAAACUCAACAGAGAAUCAAUUCAACAUCAAGGUAGUUGUGAAGACUUGUAUUAACUUGUUCAAGACAUGCAUAAUACUCCCAGUAUGUACUCCAACGCAGCAAAUACCUUUGUGUUAAUAAACAUUACAAAGACCAAA